AUAUAAAAAGAUUUUAUGAAAGGCAAAGUGGGGGGGGGAGGCCACAGUAAUUCUCACCCUAUUAUAUUCCUUUCAAUUAUUUACAGGAGUAGACACUGGUGCUGAUCCUAUAUAGAGCCUGGAAUCCAGUGAGGUCACACGGGCAUUCUGGAAGCUAAGGAGGCCAUGUGGAAUCUGGGACACAAUGAGGCAAUGAUUCAGCUGCCCCUGCAUUCCACACCUCCCAGGGUCCCCUCUCUGUUCCCCUCCCUUAGCACCCAAGUCAAGACAGACCCCAUGGUUACAAUUAGCUCCAUCCCUGCUCAGGAGAUGUGAACAUUUUCCUUCCGUCAAUGGUUUUAAUAAUAUGGUCACCUUACUCUCCUAACUGAACCCAGUAGGGAAAUGAAAGCUGGGAAUCCAAAGGUCAUAGUAGGUAACACCAAGGAAUGUCACGGCCAGGUCACGUGGUUGUCAUUUGACUGCUGGGAAAAAUUAAGCCAAAGUGUGAUACUCUUUCAGUAUGUUAGAAACAAUGACGAUCCCCAUGGUUGCAGCCUGGCAACACUGGCAGGGCAGCUUCAGGAACCAGGUGACUCUGAUGGGAAUGUAGGACUUCCUUCAAGUCCGGCAUUGGAUGGCAUUUUAUCAUUCCAGUCAUGAAGGCAGAAAAUCAGCAACAGAAUAGUGCUGUCUGUUCCAUUCAGUUUUCCUCAUCUAAGCACCGACUCAGAUUCAUCAAGCCCAGGGACUGCUGUGCAGAAGACUUUCUGCCAUGCAGCCUAUCAACGAGUUUGUCUUCCUCAAUGAUGUGGUUUGCCCUGGAGUUAUCUGUAUUUUGAUGCUAAUUUCACUGCCCCAAGGACAGCUGCCUAGUCACAUACUCAGGAAUCAGGUGACUUCACCAGAAACUUCUCCCCAUUGAAUUUGUAAAAUACAGGUGAGGGGCAGGCACAGGAUAUAAGGAGGCCUGUCAUUGGAGGAGAAGGAAGGAUGGGCGGGAGAGAAGUUUGAAGGAAGAGGAGGAGACUGGAACGGAAAGGAGGAGAGGAGAGGGAGAGAAGCCGUGGCAGGACAAUAUGGCGGGUGACUUUAAGAUUCCACGCUGUACCUUUACGGGUUGUUACAAAUGUUCUUAAGGGAUGGAUGGUACUGGGCUUUGUACGUUUAGGUGGGCAAUUAUAUCUUACCAAUUGGGUCAAA